CUCUUCUCUUAUCCUAAAUCGAGCCUCCCGGCGCCACUCCCGACCCAACCGCCGUCCCGUUCCACCUCCCGGCCAUCGCGCCUGCCACCGCGCCCCACCUCCCGGCCAUCCCGCCCACCACCGCGCACCACCUCCCGACCAUGGCGCCCGCUGCCGCGCCCCACCUCCCGGCCAUGGCGCCCGCCGCCGCGCACCACCUCCUGGUCAUGGCGCCCGCCGCCGCGCCCCACCUCCCGGCCAUGUCGCCUGCCUCUGCGCCCCACCUCCCGACCACGCGCCCGCCGCAGCGGCCCACCUCCCCGGACACGCGCCCCAUCGCCGCACUCCUGCAACCACAUCUCGGUGACGCGCCCAACCUUCUUCCUCCUCCUGCCACCUCCUGUCGCAGCGCACCACGCCAAGCACAUCCCCUACCUCCUCCUCCUCUUGCUUGCUCCCAGUGAGGCACCGAGCGCCCGACCAUCCCCUUCCACCUGCUCAGCAUCCCCAAUGCGACAGCGCAGAAAACCGUAGCUCGGCAGUCCACCCUCAUGCUCCGCCAUGGGUCUAUCAGAUAGCAAGAUGCAGGGCACCUCUCUCUCUCUCUCUCUCAAAUGAUUUGCCGUAUGGUCCAAUUUUGUAUCUUUGAUUUUGUUCUUUCUUGAAGCUUGGAUGAGAAAAACCUAAAAAAUUGCAGAAUGUUCCACCGUAUGCACUUUGUUCAUGUUCCUCUGUGAAUUGAUCAGUGAUCAUCGCGCUCGACUGUCUCCCUCCUGCCCCGUCUGUCCAGGUUUGGACUCACACCAGUUCAAGUAGUGAUGUUGCAACAGGUUGGGGAACAAUUUUGGAAUCACGUAUAUAUAGUGGUUGCUUGCAAAUGAAUUUGUCGUUGCUAGUACAUUUUUGUACCAGAUGAUUCCAAGUGAAUUGUCGUUUACUACUAUCCACGAUGUUCCUGCCAUGUUUUGUUUUCAUUUGAAUUUACUAUGUAACCACUGCUCAUGGUAACAUCAAACAAUAAAUUUUAUAUGCCUGGCAUGUUUGAUCUGAUUUGACUCCAUGACCAUAGUGCAAAACAAAAAUCUACAAUAUCCUUGCUAGCUUGCAUCUCUAAUUUAGUAAAAUUGUCUCUAAAGUUUUGAUUGCAUCGCCAUCUCCCGGUGGGGCUCUGCUGCCGGAGCACCCUGGACAUUCAAGGGAGGUGAAGCCCAGGGUGCUCGUCGGAGCCCGUACUGGAUCACGUACUGGAACCCUGACAUGAUGCAAUUAGUCAUUAGUGUCGACGACUGAUUUAUUUUGUUUUGUACAAGUUAAAACAUCAGUGGCCAUAGGGAAGGAGACCUUCCCAGAUCGUGCCCCUGGACAAUGCAACAACGAAUUGGACGCCGUUUCCGCCUCUCUUCCAGCAGCGCCGAUGUCCCCUUCUAGCUCAGCACCGGUUUCCCCGCCUCAUGAUACGGUCUGCAGGUGCUUGUGAGUUGUCUGCUAGGCGUUGUUUAAGUGUCAUAGAUGACGUGUUGUCUCCUGGCAUCUGGAUUAGCUGCCGACUGCAAAUAAAAGGUUGGAACUUCCUGUCUAUUUUGGUUGGUGAAUACGUAUUAACAAAAUUUCUUUUCUACAUGGUAGUUCAACUAUUUCAAAAAACAAAUUCUCUACACGAUAGUUCAUGUGCUGCUAGCAGAUAAGUUCAAAGAACAAACCGCCACAAGUACUUAAUUUCAAAUCAUUUUAUUUUGUUUAAUUUCAAUCAGCUCUACUACAUACGCUAUUCAAGUUCAGAGCUAACGACAUCAUCAGUUCGGACAUGAAACCAAAUUUCAAAUUAAAACCCCAAAAGGGUUAACUUCUAUAAGUCCAUGUUCCCAUACCGAGGUCGUUCAAAAAACCAGAUCAUAAAAGUCCACUGUUUCAUUUUGCAGGUUCAGAAAGAAAAAUUGAUGUUGUUUUUGCCAUUUUCAAAAUUGCUCUUAAACAAAAAGUUCAAUAUUAAACGUUUUGUGCCUGUCCUUACAUUAGCUAGUCUUUCACCAUGUCCAGAUAGUGCCUAGGAGAAGUGAAGAUAAGGUUUAUAUUUAUGUUUAUGAUAGUUGAAAGAUUAGGUGUAAAAAAUAUUUUCUUGCAGGCUACUGAAUGUUUCAAUUCGUUGUGUGUGAAUUUUGUUGUAGCAAAAUAUUUUCUCUUCCUCUAUAAAUCUCCCUCCUGUCACUAAUUUAUUUUCUCUCUGAAUACAACACGAGGGAGGCUGGAGAGACUGCAGACCGGUGACAAGAACCACUCUUUAGUUCUGCUAUUCGUGUAUUGGAAGUACAUAUCCUCUAUCCAGGCAGGAGGUAGAGUACUUGCUUAUAUGUUGAAGAUUUCUGCUGGAAACGAGUUCAUUAUUUUGCCCCUAGACUUGUAGACGGAGUGUUGGCGAAGACAGCUAUGGAGAGGAAACUGUAUAUGGUGAAGAAUUGGGAGCCAGAAGAGCAAAGCCGAUAGCAGGGCCGAGCAGAAGAUGUCGCCAAUGUUGUUGGGUCAUGGGAGAACACCAAGUAGAAGGCGGUCCUUGACGUGAAGCUCUGAAUGCCAGAGGUCUCGACUCUGAAUCUGGACCUUGCCUAGUUGCCUUUUUUGUGUUAGCUAGAUCAGUACUAGUGCUCAGUAGUACGACAAGUAGCAGUACUGAUCAGUACGACUUACACAAUACUAGUACUGAUCACUACUAUUUUUAAUGUUAAAAGUAACAUCCAUACUGUAUUUAUGAGUCAUACUGACAAGGAUGUCGUCUACAAUUCUAAACUUAUUGUUGACUCGUACUAGUACUGAUGAAAUGGGAAGCAAGUGUCACAUGAAUCCUCAAUUGAAUGGGAAGGAAGGUUGCAAUGA